rnacentral:tRNA from 1 species
GGGGGCGUAGCUCAGUUGGGAGAGCACCUGCCUUGCAAGCAGGGGGUCAAGAGUUCGAAUCUCAUCGUCUCCA